UAAUACGGAGGGGGUUAGCGUUGUUCGGAAUUACUGGGCGUAAAGCGCGCGUAGGCGGACCAGAAAGUUAGGGGUGAAAUCCCGGGGCUCAACCCCGGAACUGCCUCUAAAACUCCUGAUCUAGAGUUCGAGAGAGGUGAGUGGAAUUCCGAGUGUAGAGGUGAAAUUCGUAGAUAUUCGGAGGAACACCAGUGGCGAAGGCGGCUCACUGGCUCGAUACUGACGCUGAGGUGCGAAAGUGUGGGGAGCAAACAGGAUUAGAUACCCUGGUAGUCCACACCGUAAACGAUGAAUGCCAGUCGUCGGGUAGCAUGCUAUUCGGUGACACACCUAACGGAUUAAGCAUUCCGCCUGGGGAGUACGGUCGCAAGAUUA
rnacentral:rRNA from 1 species